CUCCUCUGUGGGAAAAUCAAUGAAGAAUAAUGACUAUUACCUGGACUCACCUCAGCAGUGUACUUCAUGAAAAGUGUCUGCAGUAUUCUCAACAUUCAGGCUUUUCAUCCACCAUGAGCAACAGACUGGAAGUUUUGAUUAGGAGUGAAAUGUCCUCACAACUACUAGAUGGAUUGUCAUGAAAUUUCCCUCAGGAUGAAACUUAAUAACUUUGAUGAUCUUCUGACUUUUCCAUCAUCAUCAGAUCAAGGAUGUGUCCCCCUCUCAGGCCUCAGACUCCCCUGUAAGGUAAUUGGUGUUAAAGGUGGGUUGCACCUCUUCUAGCAGAGAGUCCAUAAUAAGCAAGGCUGGAACUUGCAGAUGUCACCCAAUCACCAAAGUCACUGCUGGCACCUUUUCCAUUUUUACAAUCCCACUGCGAAACUCAUUUUUGUAUCCGUCCAGCCAUGUGUCGCUGGUCCGGUGCGCAAUCCAUUUUUCACUUCAUGCAGCUUGUAAAGCAGCCAUAUGGAAGGAAGGACCUGGCUGCACCCGCUCUGGCUCACCACUGUGGUCCUAAUAUUUCACUGUCUCAAGGUCAUUUGAUAUUUAUAUUUCCUCUGAGCUGUUUUUAAAAGUUUUAUGAAACUUUUAACAAUGUCUCUGUCAAAAAAUAAAUAAAUAUACAAAUCGAUUUCAGUUUUUUGUCUGUUCUCAUUAAAAAUAGCAUUAAUCACAGCAUAUCAUUAAUGUCACUCCUGAUCUGGAUGGAUUUGGCAGACUGUCAUUAGACUCUGACACUAAUUAACAGUAAUUUACUCAUGCUGAAUGUGGACACAGACCAUGAAUAAACAGUUAAGAUUUUGACAUACGUUUUCCUUUUAGAUCAUCUUGUCAGUAUAAAACAUUCUUCCAAACACAAAGACAAAGGCCUGUUAAAAGUAAAAACACAACUCAUUUGACAAUAGACUAAUCAGGAAUAUAAAUUAAUUCAUAAUCUCCAUGCAACAACUGACAAGCAUCUCACUGCAGCGACCUGAACAGCAGAGCACUCUCUUAGUGAGAUAUCACUUUAAGUCUGUAUCAGGAGGGAUCAUCUCUGCAAACCUAAAACCCAUUUCCUUUCCUUGCUCUGCAUGCAUGCUAUCUGUCUGGUUGACUUGCUUUUUAUUUCCCUUUUGGUAAAGUCAGAGAUACCAAAGCGCAGACUGAAAGGCAGUCUCCUUCGCCUGAUCCAAUUUGCAAAACGUUAUACUGCUAUCUCACCAUAGCAGGAGCAGAGUGGAGUUUUUUCCCCCAAACUUAAACACUGAUUUGUUAGCAUACCGAAAGAAAAUGGCGAAUGUGAAUAUGCUAAAGAAAACCUACAUCUUCUGAGUAAAAAAUGUCCAAAUUUCAUCAAAUCAUUUUCGCACUGUGCUGCUAAGUGAGCAGCAUUAGAAGAAAGCUAUUACAUUCUCCACCACGCCUUUCUCUUCCAACCCUGCAGGGCAACAUCCCAAAAAAAAAGAGUUACCAUCCGACACACAAAGGCUGCUGUGUGACAAAAAAGAGCACCACAAGCAAUUCUAAUCACAUCACACAUUCACAUGGAGAACAGGGUCUUCCUGGGCUUUAUCUUGUUAGAUUCACAUGCUGAAGUCACAUCAUGAACACCAGAAGUGAAUUUCACCAGAUUUUUGGAAAAGACCAUAUGGAUUUAAUGGAGAGGUAUUGUUUCAAACAAUGUCAGGCACUGCAAUGUGGUGUAUGGUGGCCUUGAGAGCACUGCAACUUAAGAAAACACAAGCAAAUAAAGAAAACA